rnacentral:rRNA from 1 species
GACGAACGCUGGCGGCGUGCCUAAUACAUGCAAGUCGAGCGCUGAAGGUUGGUACUUGUACCUACUGGAUGAGCAGCGAACGGGUGAGUAACGCGUGGGGAAUCUGCCUUUGAGAGUGGGAUAACAUCUGGAAACGAAUGCUAAUACCGCAUAAUAUCUUUAAACACAAGUUUCAAGUUUGAAAGAUGCUAUUGCUUCACCUAAUGAUGAUCCCGUCUUUUCUUAGCGAGUUGGUAAGGUAAAGGCCUACAAAGGCAUGCUUGCAUAGCCGACCUGAGAGGUUAACCGGCCAAACUGGACUGGAGACCGGGUCCAGCUCCUUCGGGGGGCAACAAUAAGGGAACUUCGGGAAUUGGGGAAAGUCUGACCGGACAACGCCGCGGUGAUGGAUGAAGGUUUCGGGUCGUUAAACUCUGUUUAUAAGGGAAAAAGAUAGUUGGAAGGAAAUGCGCAUCAAGUGACGGUAACUACCCAGAAAGCGACGGCUAACUACGUG